rnacentral:sRNA from 1 species
GUUAGUGUUUUAUGGUCAAAAUGUGUCACAAUCCAAUGCAUUUGACUAAUUAUAAGAGUUAAAGAUGGAUAAGAAGUGUUUAGACAACACUUAUACUCAUGUUCUCCUAAAAGAGGCUAAAACCAACAAAAAUUGCUUAGAAACAGUAAAUAGCUUUGUUAGUGUUUCUAUGGUCAAAAUGUGUCACAAUCCAAAGCCAUUGACUAAUUCUAAGAGUUAGAGAUGGAUUAGGAGUGUUUAGACAACACUUAUACCCAUUUUCUACCAAAAGAGGCUAAAACCAACAAAAAAAAUUGUUUAGAAUUAGUAAAUAACUUUGUUAGUGUUUCUAUUGUCAAAUUUUGUCACAAUCCAAUGCAUUUGACUAAUUAUAAGAGUUAGAGAUGGAUUAGGAGCGUUUAGAUAAUAUUUAU